AGCUCACGUAAUUAGUCUUAUCAGGAAAUUGCCCAGAAUAAACAGAACUCUGACUUCUCUGAAUUCCCUCUAAAACUGAGAUGUAAGCCGCUGGGUGCCAGAUGUGGGCCACGUUAGCACCUACACUGUGGUAUGUUAGUCCAAAACCCACUGCCAUAAAAUGAAAAGUAGAAGGAAUUAAUCUAUGAAACACUCUUAAAAUCAAUCUGUGAUUUUUAAAAUAUGCCUCCACUGGAGGGCGCCAGAGCAGCCCGAGGAAGGCACAAAACAAGGAAAUAGAAAACAGGUGGCGUUUAUUGUAACUCAUUAUCCUUGAUGAACUGAUGGAUUCGCUGUACAGUGAGGAAAUUGAAUGACUCAACUACUGCAGUACAACACAGACCUUCUCUAUCACCUCCACCUUUAGUCCUUUAGAAACGUUUGACCCAUGACCAGGACAAACACGUGAAAACCAGAAGCCCCUUCAUGUGUGUCCUUAACAUGCUGCUCCAGUAGGACACUCCCUAACAGAUUGCAGUCGGAUGAAGGCGAGUUUAUGGUCGGCAUCACUGGCCCUGGCAAACAAGGACGACUCCUCCAGAAAACUGAGCAGUUGAAGGAGGCAGACAAAUGUAUGGGAACAAGGUUUCUCAUCACACCGAGGAGGAUGAUCCUUUUCAGGAAAAAGGCCUGGUCGUUGAACCCACACACAGAGGUCAGAGGAGUUGUUCCUGGAUUAACUCGGACCAAAUUAAACCUGAUGCUUCUGUCAGGAAACAUCUGUGAGUCAACACACACCAUGGGCGUGUAAAUAGUGGUCACACUGGUCCAUUUACAGCAGGCCAUGUAACAGUGGAAUAUCCUGAAUGCAGGCCCUUGUUAUAAUGAAGCGGCCUGUGAUGAUGUCUCUGUGGACUCUUCUCCAUGCACGUCCACACCUCCAGACGUCAAGGUUUUUCGAAGGAGAAAAUAACUUCCCUAAGGCCUGAGAGAGCUGACUUGGUUUUACAAUGAUCUACUUGGAGCCUCACCACUGCUAGCCUGCCAACCAGUCAACCAGUCAUGUAACUACGUUUACAGUAUCUCUGAAACAUUUAAGAAAUGUUUCCUCGUCUCAUCAGAUAGGAAAUCACUCUGUUACUCUGCUUCAUCUUCUGAUUGUCUAUUCACCUGUGACCUACUCUGUAGGAUGUUACCAAACUAACCAGUACUGGAGUUUAACACAUUGUACUGGUGUUACAGUAUAGUCUCCAAAAUAAAAUAAAAUUAGCUGUACUUCUAUCUUCUAGCUGUCUUAUAAUUAGUUCCAGCCUUUUGCCAUGCUAUCUUCAAGUAGAAAAUGUAGCUAAUUUAUCAAAAAUUGUCUUUAUUGUCUGCGUUGUGCUGCACAUUUAGUUCAUUAC